GUCCUCUUCUUCUUUGCAAAUUAUUGUCUCUCUCACCACAGCCCUUCCCUUUUCCUAUGUUACUUCCCAUUUUCAGCCCUCCAUUACAAGUUUACAGAUCACAAGGUCACUGAAAUAAAUCACUAUGUGAAAAAAAACAGCUAUGAAAUAGUUGAAGAAUUUUCCUUCUAGUUUAAAGGAAAACCUGGAAAAUAUUUUCAUCUAUAUGUCUAGCAAUCUCCUUAUUCAACAACAUUUCACAACAGGGAGCUGUAUCAUUCAUUUUGGAAAAAAGCAUAAGGAGUACUAGAUAACAAAGGGCCAAAUAAAACAACAGUUUAUGGGAAAUGUGCCACCAACUGACAAGAGGAGAUGAAGAGUUUCUAUACGUCAAUAACCAGUUCUCUUCAUUCACUUACCCAUUUAUUU
rnacentral:lncRNA from 10 species